CGUCAUCCAGCUGCGUCUCCAGCUGCUGCAGCACUAGCUCCAGGCUGUUCCCAAGCUCCUGCUUGCUGCUUGAAACAAUCAACUAAAUUGAAUUGCACUGGACCAAAUGGGAGCAGCCGCAUUGGCGCCAAACAUAACGCUACAUGAAGACAUACACAAUUUCUAGCUACUACGGUUGGAUCUACAUCCAGGCGAGUUAACGGAGGCAACCGGACUAGUGACUUCAACAUCGGGUUUCAGCGGCAAUAGUAACAACCAUAGCUGCUCGCCAUGCUUGAAGGGAUGCUUUUAUUUAAGGAAAUGCAUUAAUACAUUCGUUGAAUUUGUACUAUUUACA